rnacentral:pre_miRNA from 1 species
UAUUAGAUUGGUGCAAAAGUAAUUGUGGUUUUUGCCAUUAAAAGUAAUUGCAAAAACUGCAAUUGCUUUUGCACCAACCUAAUA